rnacentral:lncRNA from 1 species
UUUGUGGGUCGUUGGAAAACAAGUUCGUUCGCCGGACAACGGCUUAUUAUUUAUAUGAGUCUCAGAUUCAAAUAAAUAAUAAGCAAACACUUGAAUUCCUACUCUUAUAGAACACAAAUAUUUUAAUUUACUUUGCAUUCCGAAAUUUUUUAACAGCAUAUUGAGAUUAAAGCUCUCUAAAUAUGCGUUUUCUAUAUGAGUUAUGGGAAAAUAUGUUGAACAUGUUUAAACUUGAAAUUAAAGUUUACGGUCUUAAAAAUCGAAACACACAAUUGAUAUGUGAUUUUCUCGCACAAAAGGAUGGACACCUUUAUAAGUAAUCUAAUCAUUCUAUGUAUGUAAUCUUUUCUACAAUCUUUAAGGGAUAAUUUUAACUAUGAUACAAGUUUUGGCACACAUCGCGCAUUUACUAUACAGGCUCUGUCAUCGGACGAGUUAAGGUUUUUUCAUCAUUUUUUAUUAUUUGUACUUUUGUUGUACUGUUUGUGUCAGCGACAACACUUUGACUCAGUCCAUUCCCGAAUCACACGCUUGUAAUUCCAUGGUUGUCUUUGGUUGCUUUAUACCAUAUGCGUUUUGAACAUAAAAUAGGCAGGUAGUUUUCUUGUUUGAAUUGUUUUACAUUUAUAAUUUAGGGCCCUGUUAUAGCUUGCUUUCAUGCAGUUUGUGUGUUUUUCUCAUUGUUUAAGGCAUACGCUGACCUAAACUUGAUUAAUUCAACAUAAUUUUUGUGUCUAAAAGAAAGUUGUCUCAUUGUCAAUGUUUAUGGGAUAAGUGGUUACCGUCACUUCUUAAUAAGACCUAGAUAUAAAUGACGGUCAUGUUUUGCAAAC